UACAGAGGUCUCAAGCGUUGUUCGGAUUCAUUGGGCGUAAAGGGUGUGUAGGUGGCGCGCUAAGUCGGGUGUGAAAUUUCGGAGCUUAACUCCGAAACUGCAUUCGAUACUGGCGUGCUUGAGGACUGGAGAGGAGAAUGGAAUUCCCGGUGUAGCGGUGAAAUGCGCAGAUAUCGGGAAGAACACCCGUGGCGAAGGCGGUUCUCUGGGACGGUACUGACGCUGAGACGCGAAAGCGUGGGGAGCGAACAGG
rnacentral:rRNA from 1 species